GACAGAGGGUGCAAACGUUGUUCGGAAUUACUGGGCGUAAAGCGUGCGCAGGCGGCUUUGCAAGACAGAUGUGAAAUCCCCGGGCUCAACCUGGGAACUGCAUUUGUGACUGCAUGGCUGGAGUGCGGCAGAGGGGGAUGGAAUUCCGCGUGUAGCAGUGAAAUGCGUAGAUAUGCGGAGGAACACCGAUGGCGAAGGCAAUCCCCUGGGCCUGCACUGACGCUCAUGCACGAAAGCGUGGGGAGCAAACAGG
rnacentral:rRNA from 1 species